rnacentral:lncRNA from 1 species
AUAGUCUAUAUUUCAUUUACUGUCCAUACCUAGAAACCUUUUUAUAACUUAAGUGAAAUUUACUCCAAAGAAUAUUGUAGAUUUAAGUUUGUUUUAGUCUAUUGAACUUUAUUUGUCACAAAAUAUUUUACAAAAGUGAAUGUACAGUUUUGUUUGAAGCAGUUCAGGAAAAAAAGAAUGGACCAUUACAAUAUCACAGAUGGAUAGCUAAAAGUUUAGCCCAAUUAAGAAAUAACAUUUUCCUUGAAAAAUAUAUUUCUCAAUUUUGUGUUUUAAAUUAUUCUAUUCAUUUCCAGCAUAGAAACAGAUAAAUAUAAUGAAUUCCACAUGCAUCAGUUUAAAAAAAAUCUGAAUGAAUGAGAAUGUAGGAAAAUAAUGUAAUGGACUUUUUGCAACUGCACCAGAUAAAGGUUUUUAGAUAUUCACAGUAAUUGAGACAUUUAAUAAAUCUAAAUAAUGGUUGUAAUGCAACACUCCUUCUGCUAUUGCAAGUUUAUAUUCCGUUCUAGUACUUUUCCAUCUAUAUAUAACAUCUUAUGAGUAUGGCAUUAUUCAGUGGAAAACAAUCAGAUUUUUCACAGACUAUUUGCUUUAGGCAUGUCAUGUUAGCUAUGUACUUUACAAGAAAAUCAGUAAAAACAAAUGAGAAAUUAACAACCUUUGAUGAAUUCAAAAAUUUCAACAAGAUUGUUUAUCUGAUAUUCCAGUUUUAGACAUUGCUUCAGGCAGAAGGAUGGUUGUAUUGUAGAAUGCCAGA